GUGAAGAACGUAGUAAAAUGCGAUAAGUAAUGUGAAUUGCAGAAUUCAGUGAAUCAUCGAAUCUUUGAACGCACAUUGCGCCCGCCAGUAUUCUGGCGGGCAUGCCUGUUCGAGCGUCAUUUCAACCCUCAAGCACAGCUUGGUGUUGGGACUCGCGUUAAUUCGCGUUCCUCAAAUUGAUUGGCGGUCACGUCGAGCUUCCAUAGCGUAGUAGUAAAACCCUCGUUACUGGUAAUCGUCGCGGCCACGCCGUUAAACCCCAACUUCUGAAUGUUGACCUCGGAUCAGGUAGGAAUACCCGCUGAACUUAAGCAUAUCAAUAAGCGGAGGA
rnacentral:misc_RNA from 1 species